AUUGAACGCUGGCGGAAUGCUUUACACAUGCAGGUCGAACGGCAGCACGAGGGCAACCUUGGUGGCGAGUGGCGAACGGGUGAGUAAUACAUCGGAACGUGCCCAGUCGUGGGGGAUAACUACGCGAAAGCGUAGCUAAUACCGCAUACGAUCUAUGAAUGAAAGCGGGGGACCGAAAGGCCUCGCGCGAUUGGAGCGGCCGAUGGUAGAUUAGGUAGUUGGUGGGGUAAAGGCUCACCAAGCCGACGAUCUGUAGCUGGUCUGAGAGGACGACCAGCCACACUGGGACUGAGACACGGCCCAGACUCCUACGGGAGGCAGCAGUGGGGAAUUUUGGACAAUGGGCGCAAGCCUGAUCCAGCCAUUCCGCGUGCAGGAUGAAGGCCCUCGGGUUGUAAACUGCUUUUGUACGGAACGAAAAGGCUUCUUCUAAUACAGGGAGCUCAUGACGGUACCGUAAGAAUAAGCACCGGCUAACUACGUGCCAGCAGCCGCCGUAA
rnacentral:rRNA from 1 species